AUGAAGGCGCGGGAGCGCGACACCGCCGAGGCGGACGCGCUGCGGGCGGAGCUACUCAAGGCCAAGGCCGUGCUCGCCGAGACCAAGGCGGGCGCGGGGAUUGCGGCGGCGGCGGCGCGUGCGCUCCAGGAGGAGUUGGAUAAGAAAGUUAAAAACCUAGAGAAACAGGAGGGCCACUGGGGCCCGUCUGCGCGGCACUCCCUCGCCGUCAGUCCAGGCCGUUCCACGACUCCUACCCCCUGGUCAUCGGCCGCACCAUCCACUGGCUGUGCAGCACUACAACCCGGAGCCGCUGCCGCCGGGAGGCACCUGUCUAGCCUGGAGCCGUACAUCGUCGCUGUGGACGUCGACACCAUGGAGGCCACCGUGAUUGAUCUGCCGCGGGGCUGCACUAGCAGAAUGACUGCCUCUAUGAGCCACCUGGGCCUCCUCCUGGCCGCUUCGGUGGACGGGAGGCUCAAGGUUGUGGUCUUGGAGACCCAGGUUAUAUCAAUGUGGACCAUGUUACCACCCAUCGAGGGGGAGCCGAGCUCGCUGCCGAGAUGGAUCCGACAGGUGCUGAUAGACAAGCAGGACUGGGGCGUGCACAGCUCAGUUCAGUUUGAAGGGUUCGGGCUAAGGAGUGGCACUGUCAUCUUAUAUGUCGGUAGAGUUGGCCUCAUUCGCCUCAACCUUGCCACAAAAGAGGUGGUUGUCGUCUACCACCGCAGCGAUACAGCCUAA
rnacentral:rRNA from 1 species